GAUGAACGCUAGCGGGAGGCCUAACACAUGCAAGCCGAGCGGUAUUUGUUCUUCGGAACAGAGAGGGCGGCGCACGGGUGCGGAACACGUGUGCAACCUGCCUUUAUCUGGGGGAUAGCCUUUCGAAAGGAAGAUUAAUACCCCAUAAUAUAUUGAGUGGCAUCAUUUGAUAUUGAAAACUCCGGUGGAUAGAGAUGGGCACGCGCAAGAUUAGAUAGUUGGUGAGGUAACGGCUCACCAAGUCAAUGAUCUUUAGGGGGCCUGAGAGGGUGAUCCCCCACACUGGUACUGAGACACGGACCAGACUCCUACGGGAGGCAGCAGUGAGGAAUAUUGGACAAUGGGUUAGCGCCUGAUCCAGCCAUCCCGCGUGAAGGACGACGGCCCUAUGGGUUGUAAACUUCUUUUGUAUAGGGAUAAACCUACUCUCGUGAGAGUAGCUGAAGGUACUAUACGAAUAAGCACCGGCUAACUCCGUG
rnacentral:rRNA from 1 species